GUCCGGUCCGUAAAGUCCGUAUUCUGGUUCAUGGUCUGAUCCAUUGAUCCUUGUUCCGGGUUUUCCUGUUUUCUCCCUUGUUUUGUUGAGUGCCUCAAUUGAGACACCUGAUUCUCAUUUUGAGCUGGCUACAUAAAUAGCUCCUGGGUUCAGCUUCAUGUGCUGGACUGUCCCCUUCCCUUCCUUCUUUCUGAAGCCUCACCUGCAACCUUUGCCUGAAGCCUAGCCUGCAGUCUUUGCCUACAGCCUAGCCUAAAACCUUCACCUACAUCCUUGCUUGUAAUGCCAUCGGGUUCAACCGCCAGAGCAAGACUGGGACCUCGCUGUGUCAAGAUAAGGAACAGUCCGUCGUUGUUUGGAAGUGUCUCUUUGUGACCUCGCCUUCGCUAGGGUUUUUUUGAAGACCCUGACCUGGAGUUAAACGCUGACUUCUGUGGGAAUGGGACCCGCUCUCGGGGUUUCAUGACUGGCUGUUAUCUGACAUGCCAAGGGCCUGGCCUAAGUGCUCGGCUCACCUUUGGAGGCCUAGGAUCUCGGGGGUCUGGAGAUGGGUGGAUCGAAGGUCGGCGUCCCAACUGACCGGUGUGUCGUGGGAGCUGGAAGAUCUUUGGCUGUGUGCCCAGAGACCUGAUGAUCUUCAGGCACAGAGCUCAGAAAAAGCGACACAACAGACUUUCAACAUCAUAAUCCAGGCACUCCUCUGUUCCUCUGUUUUCAUGGAUGGUUGCGAAGAAAAAGCAUUCCAGGAUGUAUAUUGUAUACAUUUUUCUGCCA